AGAGUUUGAUCCUGGCUCAGGAUGAACGCUGGCGGCGUGCUUAACACAUGCAAGUCGAACGAAGCAUUUAGGAUUGAAGUUUUCGGAUGGAUUUCCUAUAUGACUGAGUGGCGGACGGGUGAGUAACGCGUGGGGAACCUGCCCUAUACAGGGGGAUAACAGCUGGAAACGGCUGCUAAUACCGCAUAAGCGCACAGAAUCGCAUGAUUCAGUGUGAAAAGCCCUGGCAGUAUAGGAUGGUCCCGCGUCUGAUUAGCUGGUUGGUGAGGUAACGGCUCACCAAGGCGACGAUCAGUAGCCGGCUUGAGAGAGUGAACGGCCACAUUGGGACUGAGACACGGCCCAAACUCCUACGGGAGGCAGCAGUGGGGAAUAUUGCACAAUGGGGGAAACCCUGAUGCAGCGACGCCGCGUGAGUGAAGAAGUAUUUCGGUAUGUAAAGCUCUAUCAGCAGGGAAGAAAACAGACGGUACCUGACUAAGAAGCCCCGGCUAACUACGUGCCAGCAGCCGCGGUAAUACGUAGGGGACAAGCGUUAUCCGGAAUUACUGGGUGUAAAGGGUGCGUAGGUGGCAUGGUAAGUCAGAAGUGAAAGCCCGGGGCUUAACCCCGGGACUGCUUUUGAAACUGUCAUGCUGGAGUGCAGGAGAGGUAAGCGGAAUUCCUAGUGUAGCGGUGAAAUGCGUAGAUAUUAGGAGGAACACCAGUGGCGAAGGCGGCUUACUGGACUGUCACUGACACUGAUGCAUGAAAGCGUGGGGAGCAAACAGGAUUAGAUACCCUGGUAGUCCACGCCGUAAACGAU
rnacentral:rRNA from 1 species